rnacentral:rRNA from 1 species
GCUGGGUGGAUUAGUGGCGAACGGGUGAGUAACACGUGAGUAACCUGCCCUUGACUCUGGGAUAAGCCUGGGAAACUGGGUCUAAUACCGGAUAGGAACGUCCACCGCAUGGUGGGUGUUGGAAAGAUUUAUCGGUCAUGGAUGGACUCGCGGCCUAUCAGCUUGUUGGUGAGGUAAUGGCUCACCAAGGCGACGACGGGUAGCCGGCCUGAGAGGGUGACCGGCCACACUGGGACUGAGACACGGCCCAGACUCCUACGGGAGGCAGCAGUGGGGAAUAUUGCACAAUGGGCGAAAGCCUGAUGCAGCGACGCCGCGUGAGGGAUGACGGCCUUCGGGUUGUAAACCUCUUUCAGUAGGGAAGAAGCGAAAGUGACGGUACCUGCAGAAGAAGCACCGGCUAACUACGUGCCAGCAGCCGCGGUAAUACGUAGGGUGCGAGCGUUAUCCGGAAUUAUUGGGCGUAAAGAGCUCGUAGGCGGUUUGUCGCGUCUGUCGUGAAAGUCCGGGGCUUAACCCCGGAUCUGCGGUGGGUACGGGCAGACUAGAGUGCAGUAGGGGAGACUGGAAUUCCUGGUGUAGCGGUGGAAUGCGCAGAUAUCAGGAGGAACACCGAUGGCGAAGGCAGGUCUCUGGGCUGUAACUGACGCUGAGGAGCGAAAGCAUGGGGAGCGAACAGGAUUAGAUACCCUGGUAGUCCAUGCCGUAAACGUUGGGCACUAGGUGUGGG